UCACAUUUCUCAGAAAUUUGACAACAAAACAAAACAAAGAUAUGUUGAGGCAACGAAGAAGGCCCAGUUUGAAAAUGGAGUUAUUAGUAAUGAAGUAGCAGGCAUAUUUGGAAAAUUAUGCCGAUAAGCAGGAUGGAAUUUGUGAAAGUAAGUGCCUGGUUGCAGCAUAUCUAUGUAUUAACAAGAUGUGCUCCAAACAUUUGGCGGACUUUUUUUCGCCUUCUCA